rnacentral:rRNA from 1 species
AGAAUCAACGCUGGCGGCGUGCCUAAUACAUGCAAGUCGUACGCGAAGACCCCGCAAGGGGUUGUUAGCGUGGCAAACGGGUGAGUAACGCGUGGGCGACCUACCUCAGAGUGGGGGAUAACCUUCCGAAAGGAGGGCUAAUACCGCAUGAAAUGCCGUGUUUAGAUACAUGGACAUCAAAGCCGGGGAUCGCAAGGCCUGGCGCUUGGAGAGGGGCCUACGUCCGAUUAGCUAGUUGGUGGGGUAACGGCUCACCAAGGCUCCGAUCGGUA